UUACGACCAUAAUAUGUUGAAACAGCGGUUCCCGUAUGUUCACCGAAGUUAACCAACAUCGAGCCUGGCCAGUAUCAAGAUAGGUAACCGUUUGCGAAGACCAGGUUCUGUAAG